rnacentral:ncRNA from 1 species
UAGCAAUAAGGGCGGAAUAGGUAGCCGCCACCACGUUUUUUACGGUAGGAGAUGAAGAUUACCACCUUCUAUUGCUU